rnacentral:rRNA from 1 species
UUCUGGCUCAGGACAACGCUGGCGGCGUGCCUAAUACAUGCAAGUCGAACGGCUUUUCUAUGGAAGCUUGCUUCCACUGAGAAGAUAGUGGCGAACGGGUGAGUAACACGUGGGUAACCUGCCCAUAAGAGGGGGAUAACAUCCGGAAACGGGUGCUAAUACCGCAUAGUUUUCUUGAUCGCAUGAUCGGGAAAGGAAAGACGGCCUUUGUGCUGUCGCUUAUGGAUGGACCCGCGGCGUAUUAGUUAGUUGGUGAGGUAACGGCUCACCAAGACGAUGAUACGUAGCCGACCUGAGAGGGUGAUCGGCCACAUUGGGACUGAGACACGGCCCAAACUCCUACGGGAGGCAGCAGUAGGGAAUCUUCCGCAAUGGACGAAAGUCUGACGGAGCAACGCCGCGCGAGUGAAAGAAGGUUUUCGGAUCGUAAAACUCUGUUGUCAGAGAAGAACAAGUUGGAGAGUAACUGCUCCAGCCUUGACGGUAUCUGACCAGAAAGCCACGGCUAACUACGUGCCAGCCGCGGC